UGAGGAAUAUUGGACAAUGGGCGCAAGCCUGAUCCAGCCAUGCCGCGUGCAGGAUGACGGUCCUAUGGAUUGUAAACUGCUUUUGUACAGGAAGAAACACUGGUUCGUGAACCAGCUUGACGGUACUGUAAGAAUAAGGAUCGGCUAACUCCGUGC
rnacentral:rRNA from 1 species